GUAGUAGUCGCUCCGUCCCAAAAUUCUUGUCUUACAUUUGUUUAGAUACGGAUGUAUCUAAUACUAAAAUGUAACUAGAUACAUCCAUAUUGAGACAAAUUUAACACAAGAAUUUUGGGACGAAGGGAGUACAAA
rfam:Triticum aestivum genome assembly, contig: Triticum_aestivum_CS42_TGACv1_scaffold_602714_7DL